rnacentral:snoRNA from 1 species
AAGAGGCGUGAUGAAAACAUUAGCCAUACAAUUAUUCUGUAUUCUAAUGAUGAUAUUUUGAAUCAUGCACUACCAUCUGAUCUCCU